rnacentral:rRNA from 1 species
UACGUAGGGGGCAAGCGUUGUCCGGAUUUAUUGGGCGUAAAGAGCGUGUAGGCGGUUUGGUAGGUCCGCUGUGAAAACUCGAGGCUCAACCUCGAGACGCCGGUGGAAACCAUCAGACUAGAGUCCGGAAGAGGAGAGUGGAAUUCCGUGGAUGUAGCGGUGAAAUGCGCAGAUAUCAGGAAGAACACCCGUGGCUAAGGCGGCUCUCUAGUACGGUACUGACGCUGAGACGCGAAAGCGUGGGGAGCGAACAGG